rnacentral:lncRNA from 1 species
GCUCACUGGGACUCGUGCCCACCCCAGUCCAUCACUGCCGCAGCCAAGGAGACUAACAUAGAAGGUGACCCAUAAAUACCAUUUCCUUUCACAGUGUCCACAUAUAUUUGUAAGAGGUGUCUCCAAAACAUAUGACCCAUGCCACAAAAUAUUAUUGUGACAGCCCAGCAAGAAUCUACCACCAUAGCUACAGCUGUCCUCAGUAACACUGGGUUUACAUUCACACCUGUGUCAUCUUAUGGAAGUAAAUGACCCAAACCUCCUGGUGGUGGCAUGUUCAUUUCUGCACCUGGAUGUGCAAAUGGGGGGCUGUGGGGAGGUCCAGACUGACUCUCCCUGCUGGGCAGAAGUGCUUCAUAGUGGAGAGUAAAGUAGGUGCUCACUUUUAUCCUGUGCUUAACACUGUGUUUACAAUGAGAAUGUGUUCACAUAUCUUACUCUUGAAUUUCUAAAUAUGCGAUAAAAAUAUGGAGGGAAAAAAGUUCAUGUAGAUGGCCACAUUGGAGAGGAGCAAAAUGUAGAUGAUGAAACCAUUUGAAGGCCACGAAAGCAAAGGCAGCUCAAGCCCCAUCCAUCACUGCUGCAGCCAGAGAGGUCUUACGAGAACACAACUAAGUCCUGCCACUCUGCUGCCGGAAGUCCUUCACUGACCUUGCCAUCCUCAGGGAACAUGCAGGGUCCUCACUGCCGCCUGAGGCUUGACUGACCUUCCCUCGCUCAUCUCAGGCUCCUGUCUAGGCUCUGC